UUGUGGUGGUUAUUUCACCGGUGCCAGUACUGUUAGUUGGAAUGGGACGACGCGGUUGGCGGCCAUUGGCGACGAAGCGACGACUGGUUAACAAAGUCCACUGGUUGGAAUUUUGCCAGUAGAUGAGGGAUGUGGUGACUGGUGAGGGAGGCGACACCAGUAGAAAAGAGAUAGAGAGAGGAAGAAGGCUGCCAACAAAAUCUCCAUGCUGUUGCGCCCCAUUAUUCUUGUGUAAAGCAUGAUUCAAUGUGACAACUCUUUUUGGCAUUGUCAAAGGAUUGAAGAGUCGCCACCUUACGAAUUAAGGUGCAUUAGGGUACCUUUAUAGACUAAUUCAGAAUCGGUUAAUUAGUCUACAUUACCAGAAAUUUGGGUAAGGAUUCAAACUACCUCGAAAGGAAGAUCUAGGCACCUUUUGAGAUCCACAAAUAUCGUUUUUCGCCGAAUUCGUAUAUUACGUGGUGAUUCUAUGUGAUAAACAAAAGUCACUUAUUUUUAUAAACUUAAUGUCACUAAGUGAUUGCAUAAUAAAUAUACAAGACAUGCAACUUGAUUAUAUUUAAAUUGCUAAUUAUCUAAGAGAUAAACAAAUAAAAAGAUAUAAAUUAGAGAAGCAUGAGGACCGAAGAGACACAACUGAUAUAGUAAAAUAUUUAUUAAAUAAGAGAAUCUAAACUAUCCCAAAUAAUUAAACAUACAUAAAAAAAGAAAAUAAAUUUGAAAGAUUGGACAAAGGAGUUGAUUAUUUUUAAUCAUAUCUACGCCUAGCUUAUUAAUGAGUGACAAUGUCGUAGGUCGCAUUAUCAAAAUGUACUCGGGUCAACUUUCAUCAUUUCAAAAAAUCUACCCAUCCCCCCACCAAGUUUGUUUAUUAAACUUAGAGACAUUCUAAAAGAAAUGACAAAACUAACAUUCCCCAAAAUGUCUACCCGUCCCAACUUAAUGUCCAAGAGACAUUGGAUUCUAUUUUGAAUUUGAGGUCUAGACAAAGAAAGCUAGGUUGCCUAAUGAGACUCGAAAUUUGUGUCAAGCAACAAAGACAAACAUGCUUAAAACAUAAAAUUAUUCAUUUUUAUUUUAAUUAAACUUAUGGACAUGAUAUCUAAGUGAUAAAUUAAUUACUCAUAUUAAAAUCAUUAAUUUUAACAUAUCACUAUUAGUUUAAAUAUGUUAAAAAGUAAAUUGAAUAUGCUAAAAAUGUGUUUAAAGGCAGUUGUAAUAUACUAUUAAGCUAUUUUAAAAAUGUAAAAAAUCAAUUUUAAUAUACUAGAAUUUAAAUAAAUAUUCUGAAAAAUUGAAUAAACAUACUGAAAAUUAUUUUUAAACGCUGAAAAUUUAAUUUGUAUGCUGAAAAUUAUUUCUUUUUGACAGCUAGAAAAGUAUUUAAGAUGUUUAAAAUUAUUUUUAAAUGCUGGAAAGUAAUAUAAAUAUGCAGAAAAUGAUUUAAUAUGCUGAAAACUAAUAUUUUAAAUGCUGAAAAUUAAUUAAAAAAAUGCAAGAAAAUAAAUAUAAAUGCUGAAAAAUUAAUUUGACAUGCUAUAGGUUAAAUUAACAUGCUUGACUUACUUUAGAUAGAAACAAAUUAAUAAAUUCUAAAACAUGAUUUCUAAAUAACAACAUACGUUCAUUAUUGAUCCUAAAUCAAAUAUUUGCCUAGUGAUAUCAUAAUCACAUAAUCUUUGUCCCCCCUUAAGCAGUCCCCAUUAAUUUUAUUAUACAACAAUUAAUUACAGAAUAAAUCAAUAAAUAAAAAAAAAAAACUAGGAAAGAGAUAGGCAGCCCCUCCUCCUAAACUUUCGGGCAACUCUUCAAAUCCCAAGCAAAUACCCUCUAACGGAACCUAUUAGGAAAUUAAAAUGAAUCCAGAUACACCAAAAACAUGCUGCAACCACAGAGAGGUACGAAAACAUGAAGCAAAAGAGACAUUAUUUAAAUGCUAAACAUAGGAGCAUAUUCUCUAGGUUACACGAAAACUAUCAGAUAAAAUUAAAAUUGCAUCGAUAAUGAACUAACCGAUUGACGAUAAUAGACAAAAAUAUGAAAAUUAAUUUAGAAGAAAAAGAAGACAACAAGUGAAUCAGAGAACCAAGAAGAGAUUGAACUACCGGAGCGAGCAACAGUGAAAAUGCACCAAGAAAUCAGAGAGAAGAAAAAUAUACUUUAAAGUAUAGGAGAUAGUAAAAAUAUUGUUAAAGCAUUUGUGUAAAAGAGAAGUGAGGAUGGAAGUGAGGUCUGCUCUCAAUAUUGAAGGAAAAGUAUUGCUUAUAUAGUUGAGGAGUCGCAAGGAAAAAAAAUAUUCCCAAAAAUAAAGUGAGGGGACAUCUUUUCCUUGAAUAAAUGGAUGAAUCGAUUUUAAAAAUAUAAAAGGGAUUAUAUUUACCUUAAAUAUGCAAAUCAAAUAUAGUUUAGUCAUAUUUUACCAUAAAUAUGUAUGUCAAGUAUUUUGAACUAAUAAAAUAUAUAGACAAUGAAUAACUUUGUCAUUUACCAUAUAUAACAAAAUGAUAAAAGAGUAGAUAAUUACACAAAUACUCUCAAGUUCAAUUACCUUUAAUUUUGCACAGAAUCAGAUUCAAUGUGGCCAAGAUAAUCACGUAUAGCUCAAUUACUAACCAAUACAAAGAUCAGGAUUUCAAAUUAGUCUAAACACUACCAUAGUAGAAGUUCACAACAAUUUAUGACUCACAAAUCACUUCUUAAGUCACAAUUUAGGGUAAAACAAGAGUCAUACAAAUUUAGGGAUUUUCACAACACUCGAUCAAUAAGCACGCAUGCAGAUUUUGAUAGAGAAACUGAAAAAAAUUAACAUCAAAUUCUAAAUUAGGGUUAGAACGAAACUCAUGCCGAUUUAGGGGUUUUAAUAUUAUAAAUCCAGAUUAGUAAAUAAGCAUGUAAUUGAAGAAAUUGAAUAAAAAUUCAAAGCUAAACAUUAUCGACUAAGAAUCUUCCUAAGAAAAGGAGAAAGGUAGAAGAAGAUGAGGACAUUAAGACAAGAACUUAAAUGAGAAAAUAAACUUGAGACGGAUUUCCUAAAUCCAUUAUGUAUUUCAAAAUUUUCGAUAAUAUUUUCUCUAAAAUAGAAGUAGAAUUUGGCAUUGACUGUUGUGGUGGUUAUUUCAUAGUGUUGGUUGGAACAGGGCGACGCGGUUGGCGGCUGUUGGUGGCAAAACUGUAGCUAGUUGUCGGAGCUUCCUGGUUAAAAUUUUGCCGAUGGAUGAGGGAUGUGGAGACGUGAGGGAGGUAGCACCAGUGGAAAUGAGAUAGAGAGAGGAGGAAGGCCGUCGGGUUCUUGGUUGUUUUAGUGGUGCUGUCAGCGUUUCUUCAUCGGAGAAAAGGGGGAAAUAGAGAUGGGGGUUGGUGUUGCCAUUGGUGGUUGGUUGUCAGCCGUCCGGUGGCCAAUUCCGGCAGCGAUAGGCGGUGAUGGUGGCUGAGAGAGAGAGAAAGAGAGGGAGAAGGGUAGAAACGGCUGGUGAGAGUAGAAAAUAAUAAGGUUUAGUCUUGGUUUUGUUUAAAAGGAAAA
rnacentral:lncRNA from 1 species